rnacentral:lncRNA from 1 species
GGGCAACUGACUCCGAGGGGUGAGCAAAUCCCUCAGAGAAAUGCUCCUGACACAGUUAUCUUGGAAACAACAGAAAUUUAUUUCUCAGUUCUGGAGGCUGGAAGUCCAACAUCAAGAUGCUGACAGAGUGCCUGGUGUUUAAUGUGGGUCGGUUUCCUGGUUCAUAAAUAGUGCCUUCUGGCUGAGUCCUCAUGUGGUAGAAGGGGCAAACAAGCUCCCUGAGGCCUGUUUUAUAAGGUCACUAAUCCCAUUCAUGGAGAUGCUGCCCUCAUGACCUAAUCACCUCGGAAAGCUCCCCUCUCCUAAUGCCAUCACCCUGGGAGUUAAGAUUUCAACAUAGGAAUUUGCAGGGAACACAAACAUAGACCAUAGCAAACCAUUCUCAAAGGAAGGGGUGAUCUGGGAAAUGGGUACAUAAAACUCUGUACAAAACUCCACAGCCUGGGCUAAAUUGCAAAUAAUAACAGAAGCUAAUACUUUUAUAGUACUUACUGUUUGCUAAACAUUGUUCCAGUUGCUUUACACAUAUUAGCUGAUUAGCACUCUAAAUAACACUAUGAGGUAAGUACUAUUACGAAUUAAGUACAUUUUCAGAUGAGGAAAUUGAAGCCCGAUCUGCUAAAAGGAUGUGUUCAACACUUUGUAAGAGGCAGAGCUGCCGUCUGAACUCAGUGUGAUGGUUAAUAUUGAGUGUCAACUUGAUUGGUUCGAAGGAUGCAAAGUAUUGCUGCUGGGUGUGUCUGUGAGGGUGUUGCCAAAGGAGAUUAACAUUUGAGUCAGUGGAUUGGGAGAAGCAAACCCACCCUCAGUCUGGGUAGGCACCAUCUAAUCAGCUGCCAGCGUGGCUAGGAUAAAGCAGGCAGAGGAACGUGGAAGGACUAGACUUGCUGAGUCUUCCGGACUUCAUCUUUCUCCCAUGCUCUCAGGAUGCUUCCUGCCCUCGAACAUCGGACUGCAAGUUCUUCAGCUUUUGGACUCCUAGAUGUAUACCAAUGGUUUGCCAGGGACUUUCGGGCCUUUGGCCACAGACUGAAGGCUGCACUGUUGGCUUCUCUAAUUUUGAGGUUUUGAGACUCGGACUGAUCCACCACUGGCUUUCUUGCUCCUCAACUUGUAGACGGCCUGUUGUUGUGAUUGUGUGUCACUUCUUAAUAAAUUCCCCUUCUUAUAUACAUACAUCCUAUUAGUUCUGUCCCUCUAGAGAACCCUAAUACAACCAGUGUACCUGCCUACAAAGGAACAAUGUUGCUCUGCACACUCUCAGACUCCCACUUU